GAACGGGUGAGUAAUACAUCGGAACGUGCCCAGUAAUGGGGGAUAGCUCGGCGAAAGCCGGAUUAAUACCGCAUACGCCCUGAGGGGGAAAGUGGGGGACCGCAAGGCCUCACGUUAUUGGAGCGGCCGAUGGCUGAUUAGCUAGUUGGUAGGGUAAAGGCCUACCAAGGCGACGAUCAGUAGCUGGUCUGAGAGGACGAUCAGCCACACUGGGACUGAGACACGGCCCAGACUCCUACGGGAGGCAGCAGUGGGGAAUUUUGGACAAUGGGGGAAACCCUGAUCCAGCAAUGCCGCGUGUGCGAAGAAGGCCUUCGGGUUGUAAAGCACUUUUGUCAGGGAAGAAAUCCUUUGGGCUAAUACCCUAGGGGGAUGACGGUACCUGAAGAAUAAGCACCGGCUAACUACGUGCCAGCAGCCGCGGUAAUACGUAGGGUGCAAGCGUUAAUCGGAAUUACUGGGCGUAAAGCGUGCGCAGGCGGUUGUGUAAGACAGGUGUGAAAUCCCCGGGCUUAACCUGGGAAUUGCAUUUGUGACUGCACGACUAGAGUGUGUCAGAGGGGGGUGGAAUUCCACGUGUAGCAGUGAAAUGCGUAGAUAUGUGGAGGAACACCAAUGGCGAAGGCAGCCCCCUGGAUAACACUGACGCUCAUGCACGAAAGCGCGGGGAGCAAACAGGAUUAGAUACCCUGGUAGUCCACGCCCUAAACGAUGUCAACUAGUUGUUGGGGAUUUACUUCCUUGGUAACGUAGCUAACGCGUGAAGUUGACCGCCUGGGGAGUACG
rnacentral:rRNA from 1 species